GUGGGAAUGACAUGUGUGAUCUAAAAAGAGAUCUCUCGCAUUUUGCAAGAUAGACACGUGGCUCCACCAAAUGGAAGGAUUACAGUAUAAUGAUGUGGACUGGGUGGCACUGCCACAUGGGAUGUGUCUCCAGAGACAGAGAGAGCCCUGGGAUUCGAAGACAAAAGGAUUUCAUCUCCAUUUGACCCUACACAUUGGCAUCAGGGUGCAGUAGGAGGUCCUCGGGUUACAACGUCUUGACAUACAACUCUUCGA